UGGAGGGACCCCCUGUAAUCAGGCGGGUGUCCCGCGGGGUCCCCCGGCCUCUCACGGGCGUGGGGCUGGGCGUGUGCCCUCCCUGCCCUCGGGGCCCAGCUCAGGGCCUUAGGCCACGAGCCCCAGUGCCUGGCCCUUGAGCCAGGUACUUGAUGCCGCGGGGGAAGGCCGAGCUCCGUGGCUCCCUGGGUGUGGACCCGCCUGUAAGCAGGGUCCGGGUCUGGGAGCCUUUGCGCUCCCUCAGCUGGCAGCCUGUGCGGGGCGACCGCCCCGUUAGCGGGGAGCGGGUCAGGUGCCCCCCGAAGCGGAGAGAAGGAGCCUCCGUAGGCCUUUGGGCCCAGGGCCCCCCUGUAAGUCGGGGUCAGUGCCCUGGUGUCCCAGGCCCUUUGUGGUCCAGGCAGCGGCCGGAGCCCCCUGUAAGCAGGGCGGCAGCCUCUUUGGCCGCUGCUUCGCGUGCCCAGCUGCCUUUGCCCAGAGGGCCCGGCUCCCCGCAGCGGGUGGGACUGCGCCGUGCGUCGCCGUGAAGCCGUCGGAGAAGAGAGCGGAAGAGGCGUCGCGCGGGACGGCAGCGCCGGCGCGGGAAGACGCCGCGGAGCCCUCCGAGAAGAAAGCAGAGCCGUGGAGCGGGACGGCGAGGCAAGAGCGAGGAAGAAGAGCGUCGGCUUCGCGCUCAAGAGGGGGCGGGAGAAAGGCCCUCUGGGCAAAGGCCCCUCCCUUGGCAUCCCCGGGGCAGGGAUCCCAAAGAGUCCGGCGGGCAGCUUCCGGCUGCGCCGGCCGGCUUGGCGCUGGGCGGACCUCCCUGUAAGCAGGGCUGGGUCCUUUGCUUUGCUUGGCGUUGGCCUUUUGCCAUCGCGCUCCUGUGGCUGCCCGGAGAGAGGGGCAACCGCCCUGUAAGGAGGGCGAGAGUGCCCGCCUCCGCGCCCGAGGGGGGACACGGAGCUCUCCCGACCCCCGGCCCGCCCGCCCCGUAAGCGGGGCAGGGCUUUUUCCCUUGGCACCUUUGGUGCCUGCUGGCGGCCCCUGGCCAGAGUGACCCCCCGUAGUCGGGGUGUGUCACGGCCUGUGUCCCUUGCCCCUCAGCACGCCGAGGCCCUUCUGGCCCGCGCGCAGCCCGGGGCCACUAACGGGCUUCUCUCCG